rnacentral:rRNA from 1 species
GACGAACGCUGGCGGCGUGCUUAGCACAUGCAAGUCGAACGGAAAGGCCCUGCUUUUGUGGGGUGCUCGAGUGGCGAACGGGUGAGUAACACGUGAGUAACCUGCCCUUGACUUUGGGAUAACUUCAGGAAACUGGGGCUAAUACCGGAUAGGAGCUCCUGCUGCAUGGUGGGGGUUGGAAAGUUUCGGCGGUUGGGGAUGGACUCGCGGCUUAUCAGCUUGUUGGUGGGGUAGUGGCUUACCAAGGCUUUGACGGGUAGCCGGCCUGAGAGGGUGACCGGCCACAUUGGGACUGAGAUACGGCCCAGACUCCUACGGGAGGCAGCAGUGGGGAAUAUUGCACAAUGGGCGGAAGCCUGAUGCAGCAACGCCGCGUGCGGGAUGACGGCCUUCGGGUUGUAAACCGCUUUCGCCUGUGACGAAGCGUGAGUGACGGUAAUGGGUAAAGAAGCACCGGCUAACUACGUGCCAGCAGCCGCGGUGAUACGUAGGGUGCGAGCGUUGUCCGGAUUUAUUGGGCGUAAAGGGCUCGUAGGUGGUUGAUCGCGUCGGAAGUGUAAUCUUGGGGCUUAACCCUGAGCGUGCUUUCGAUACGGGUUGACUUGAGGAAGGUAGGGGAGAAUGGAAUUCCUGGUGGAGCGGUGGAAUGCGCAGAUAUCAGGAGGAACACCAGUGGCGAAGGCGGUUCUCUGGGCCUUUCCUGACGCUGAGGAGCGAAAGCGUGGGGAGCGAACAGGCUUAGAUACCCUGGUAGUCCACGCUGUAAACGGUGGGUACUAGGUGUGGGGUCCAUUCCACGGGUUCCGUGCCGUAGCUAACGCUUUAAGUACCCCGCCUGGGGAGUACGGCCGCAAGGCUAAAACUCAAAGGAAUUGACGGGGCCCCGCACAAGCGGCGGAGCAUGCGGAUUAAUUCGAUGCAACGCGUAGAACCUUACCUGGGUUUGACAUGGAUCGGGAGCGCUCAGAGAUGGGUGUGCCUCUUUUGGGGUCGGUUCACAGGUGGUGCAUGGCUGUCGUCAGCUCGUGUCGUGAGAUGUUGGGUUAAGUCCCGCAACGAGCGCAACCCUUGUUCACUGUUGCCAGCACGUUAUGGUGGGGACUCAGUGGAGACCGCCGGGGUCAACUCGGAGGAAGGUGGGGAUGACGUCAAGUCAUCAUGCCCCUUAUGUCCAGGGCUUCACGCAUGCUACAAUGGCUGGUACAGAGAGUGGCGAGCCUGUGAGGGUGAGCGAAUCUCGGAAAGCCGGUCUCAGUUCGGAUUGGGGUCUGCAACUCGACCUCAUGAAGUCGGAGUCGCUAGUAAUCGCAGAUCAGCAACGCUGCGGUGAAUACGUUCCCGGGGCU